UGUGAUGUUUUGUGCUACUUUCUCAG
rnacentral:piRNA from 1 species